rnacentral:tRNA from 1 species
GCCAGAGUAGUUCAGUGGCAGAACGCCAUCUUGGUAAGAUGGAAGUCAUGGGUUCAAUUCCCAUCUCUGGCU